GGUUAAGUGACUAAGCGUACACGGUGGAUGCCCUGGCAGUCAGAGGCGAUGAAGGACGUGCUAAUCUGCGAAAAGCGUCGGUAAGGUGAUAUGAACCGUUAUAGCCGGCGAUGUCCGAAUGGGGAAACCCAGUGCAAUUCGUUGCACUAUCGUUAACUGAAUACAUAGGUUAACGAGGCGAACCGGGGGAACUGAAACAUCUAAGUACCCCGAGGAAAAGAAAUCAACCGAGAUUCCCCCAGUAGCGGCGAGCGAACGGGGAGCAGCCCGGAGUCUGAAUCAGCUUGUGUGUUAGUGGAAGCGUCUGGAAAGUCGCAGGGUACAGGGUGAUACUCCCGUACACUAAAACACACAGGUUGUGAACUCGAAGAGUAGGGCGGGACACGUGGUAUCCUGUCUGAAUAUGGGGGGACCAUCCUCCAAGGCUAAAUACUCCUGACUGACCGAUAGUGAACCAGUACCGUGAGGGAAAGGCGAAAAGAACCCCGGCGAGGGGAGUGAAAAAGAACCUGAAACCGUGUACGUACAAGCAGUAGGAGCCCACUUGUUGGGUGACUGCGUACCUUUUGUAUAAUGGGUCAGCGACUUAUAUUCUGUAGCAAGGUUAACCGUAUAGGGGAGCCGCAGGGAAACCGAGUCUUAACUGGGCGUUAAGUUGCAGGGUAUAGACCCGAAACCCGGUGAUCUAGCCAUGGGCAGGUUGAAGGUUGGGUAACACUAACUGGAGGACCGAACCGACUAAUGUUGAAAAAUUAGCGGAUGACUUGUGGCUGGGGGUGAAAGGCCAAUCAAACCGGGAGAUAGCUGGUUCUCCCCGAAAGCUAUUUAGGUAGCGCCUCGUGAACUCAUCUUCGGGGGUAGAGCACUGUUUCGGCUAGGGGGUCAUCCCGACUUACCAACCCGAUGCAAACUACGAAUACCGAAGAAUGUUAUCACGGGAGACACACGGCGGGUGCUAACGUCCGUCGUGAAGAGGGAAACAACCCAGACCGCCAGCUAAGGUCCCAAAGUCAUGGUUAAGUGGGAAACGAUGUGGGAAGGCCCAGACAGCCAGGAUGUUGGCUUAGAAGCAGCCAUCAUUUAAAGAAAGCGUAAUAGCUCACUGGUCGAGUCGGCCUGCGCGGAAGAUGUAACGGGGCUAAACCAUGCACCGAAGCUGCGGCAGCGACACUAUGUGUUGUUGGGUAGGGGAGCGUUCUGUAAGCCGUUGAAGGUGGCCUGUGAGGGUUGCUGGAGGUAUCAGAAGUGCGAAUGCUGACAUAAGUAACGAUAAUGCGGGUGAAAAACCCGCACGCCGGAAGACCAAGGGUUCCUGUCCAACGUUAAUCGGGGCAGGGUGAGUCGACCCCUAAGGCGAGGCCGAAAGGCGUAGUCGAUGGGAAACAGGUUAAUAUUCCUGUACUCGGUGUUACUGCGAAGGGGGGACGGAGAAGGCUAUGUUGGCCGGGCGACGGUUGUCCCGGUUUAAGCAUGUAGGCGGAUGUUCCAGGUAAAUCCGGAACGUUACUAACGCUGAGGUGUGAUGACGAGGCACUACGGUGCUGAAGUGACAAAUGCCCUGCUUCCAGGAAAAGCCUCUAAGCAUCAGGUAACAUCAAAUCGUACCCCAAACCGACACAGGUGGUCAGGUAGAGAAUACCAAGGCGCUUGAGAGAACUCGGGUGAAGGAACUAGGCAAAAUGGUGCCGUAACUUCGGGAGAAGGCACGCUGAUGGUAGGUGAAGUGACUUGCUCAUGGAGCUGAAAUCAGUCGAAGAUACCAGCUGGCUGCAACUGUUUAUUAAAAACACAGCACUGUGCAAACACGAAAGUGGACGUAUACGGUGUGACGCCUGCCCGGUGCCGGAAGGUUAAUUGAUGGGGUUAUCCGUAAGGAGAAGCUCUUGAUCGAAGCCCCGGUAAACGGCGGCCGUAACUAUAACGGUCCUAAGGUAGCGAAAUUCCUUGUCGGGUAAGUUCCGACCUGCACGAAUGGCGUAAUGAUGGCCAGGCUGUCUCCACCCGAGACUCAGUGAAAUUGAACUCGCUGUGAAGAUGCAGUGUACCCGCGGCAAGACGGAAAGACCCCGUGAACCUUUACUAUAGCUUGACACUGAACACUGGUCCUUGAUGUGUAGGAUAGGUGGGAGGCUUUGAAGUGUGGACGCCAGUCUGCAUGGAGCCAUCCUUGAAAUACCACCCUUUAAUGGCUGGUGUUCUAACGUGGGCCCCUGAUCGGGGUUGCGGACAGUGUCUGGUGGGUAGUUUGACUGGGGCGGUCUCCUCCUAAAGAGUAACGGAGGAGCACGAAGGUCAGCUAAUCCUGGUCGGACAUCAGGAGGUUAGUGCAAUGGCAUAAGCUGGCUUGACUGCGAGCGUGACGGCGCGAGCAGGUGCGAAAGCAGGUCAUAGUGAUCCGGUGGUUCUGAAUGGAAGGGCCAUCGCUCAACGGAUAAAAGGUACUCCGGGGAUAACAGGCUGAUACCGCCCAAGAGUUCAUAUCGACGGCGGUGUUUGGCACCUCGAUGUCGGCUCAUCACAUCCUGGGGCUGAAGUAGGUCCCAAGGGUAUGGCUGUUCGCCAUUUAAAGUGGUACGCGAGCUGGGUUUAGAACGUCGUGAGACAGUUCGGUCCCUAUCUGCCGUGGGCGCUGGAGAAUUGAGGGGGGCUGCUCCUAGUACGAGAGGACCGGAGUGGACGCAUCACUGGUGUUCGGGUUGUCAUGCCAAUGGCAUUGCCCGGUAGCUAAAUGCGGAAGAGAUAAGUGCUGAAAGCAUCUAAGCACGAAACUUGCCCCGAGAUGAGUUCUCCCUGACCCUUUAAGGGUCCUGAAGGAACGUUGAAGACGACGACGUUGAUAGGCCGGGUGUGUAAGCGCAGCGAUGCGUUGAGCUAACCGGUACUAAUGAACCGUGAGGCUUAACCUU
rnacentral:rRNA from 1 species